rnacentral:lncRNA from 1 species
GGUUAGGGUUCGGAUUAGAGUAGAGAUGCAAAGAAGGUUGGAUUGGAAAAGAAAACCCAAAAAAAAAUAGAAAUAAAUGAUCGAAAAGAGGAAGGGAGGAAUAUGGUUUGGAUCAGAACAAAGAGGAAAAAAAAUAGAAAAGAAAAAAUAAUAAGUGUGGGAAUAGGAUUAGGACAGGGUUGCAGAGAAAGUUGGAUCGAAAAAGAGAACCGAAAAAAAUAGAAAUAGAUGGUAAAGAAGAUGA